GAUGAACGCUGGCGGCGUGCCUAAUACAUGCAAGUCGAGCGAACAGACGAGGAGCUUGCUCCUCUGACGUUAGCGGCGGACGGGUGAGUAACACGUGGAUAACCUACCUAUAAGACUGGGAUAACUUCGGGAAACCGGAGCUAAUACCGGAUAAUAUAUUGAACCGCAUGGUUCAAUAGUGAAAGACGGUUUUGCUGUCACUUAUAGAUGGAUCCGCGCCGCAUUAGCUAGUUGGUAAGGUAACGGCUUACCAAGGCAACGAUGCGUAGCCGACCUGAGAGGGUGAUCGGCCACACUGGAACUGAGACACGGUCCAGACUCCUACGGGAGGCAGCAGUAGGGAAUCGUCCGCAAUGGGCGAAAGCCUGACGGAGCAACGCCGCGUGAGUAAUGAAGGUCUUCGGAUCGUAAAACUCUGUUAUUAGGGAAGAACAAAUGUGUAAGUAACUAUGCACGUCUUGACGGUACCUAAUCAGAAAGCCACGGCUAACUACGU
rnacentral:rRNA from 1 species